rnacentral:rRNA from 1 species
UACGUAGGGUCCGAGCGUUGUCCGGAAUUAUUGGGCGUAAAGAGCUCGUAGGCGGUUUGUCGCGUCUGCUGUGAAAUCCCGAGGCUCAACCUCGGGCCUGCAGUGGGUACGGGCAGACUGGAGUGCGGUAGGGGAGACUGGAAUUCCUGGUGUAGCGGUGAAAUGCGCAGAUAUCAGGAGGAACACCGGUGGCGAAGGCGGGUCUCUGGGCCGAUGACUGACGCUGAGGAGCGAAAGCGUGGGGAGCGAACAGG